GACGAACGCUGGCGGCGUGCUUAACACAUGCAAGUCGAACGGAAAGGCCCUGCUUUUGUGGGGUGCUCGAGUGGCGAACGGGUGAGUAACACGUGAGUAACCCGACCUUGACUUUGGGAUAACUUCAGGAAACUGGGGCUAAUACCGGAUAGGAGCUCCUGCUGCAUGGUGGGGGUUGGAAAGUUUCGGCGGUUGGGGAUGGACUCGCGGCUUAUCAGCUUGUUGGUGGGGUAGUGGCUUACCAAGGCUUUGACGGGUAGCCGGCCUGAGAGGGUGACCGGCCACAUUGGGACUGAGAUACGGCCCAGACUCCUACGGGAGGCAGCAGUGGGGAAUAUUGCACAAUGGGCGGAAGCCUGAUGCAGCAACGCCGCGUGCGGGAUGACGGCCUUCGGGUUGUAAACCGCUUUCGCCUGUGACGAAGCGUGAGUGACGGUAAUGGGUAAAGAAGCACCGGCUAACUACGUG
rnacentral:rRNA from 1 species